GUUUGUGGCUUGUGGAAGUUGAC
rnacentral:snRNA from 1 species